AACGAACGCUGGCGGCAUGCUUAACACAUGCAAGUCGAACGAGACCUUCGGGUCUAGUGGCGCACGGGUGCGUAACGCGUGGGAACCUGCCCUUAGGUUCGGAAUAACUCCCCGAAAGGGGUGCUAAUACCGGAUAAUGUCUUCGGACCAAAGAUUUAUGGCCUUUGGAUGGGCCCGCGUUGGAUUAGCUGGUUGGUAGGGUAAAAGCCUACCAAGGCGACGAUCUAUAGCUGGUCUGAGAGGAUGAUCAGCCACACUGGGGCUGAGACACGGCCCAGACUCCUACGGAAGGGAGCAGUGGAGAAUAUUGGACGAUGGGCGAAGGCCUGAUCCAGCAAUGCCGCGUAAGUGAUGAAGGCCUUAGGGUUGUAAAGCUCUUUUACCCGGGAUGAUAAUGACAGUACCGGGAGAAUAAGCUCCGGCUAACUCCGUG
rnacentral:rRNA from 1 species